CAAAACAAAUACACAAAAAUAAAUGCAUUAAAAGCUUAAAUAUGCCACAAGAACAAACGUUCCACACUUGCUAAUAUAUGCAUACUAAUCAUUUAACUCAUAUUAAAAAUGCUACAAGAAACGCUUGACUCUUGCUAAUAUAUGCAAGAUCAAACGCUUGAAUUUUGAUAAAAACCAGCCGUAUAAGCAUGGUUAAACCAGAAGUAAACCAAAAUUAGAUCAUACAAGUCACACUUUUGUUUCAAAAUAAUUUUAAAAAUCAAAACGAAAGUGCAACACGACGGUUUCAACACGUCAAUAGAAAAAUCUAAUCAAAUUGUUUUUUUUUCAGACAAUCUGUAACUAAUGAUCAACGCUUGAUGAUAAAGAAGAUUCACAGAAAAGCAAUAGCUAAGAUUAUUAUAAAAGAUCCCUGCACAUAAUCGAUCUGAAAAGAUCAUAACAAUUGCUUGUAUUUUCCAUCACCAUGAAUUCUCGAAUUCAUGUUUUUAUGAUAAAACAAGAUCCGAUUCCGGCUUCUUUAACCUGUUCUUAAAAAUAAAAACUUUUAACAAAUAUCAGUAUUGUUAGUGUAAAAGCAUAAACAAUAUUUAAAGAUUUAAGAGUGUAAGAAUCUUAUUUUACUACCAUAGGACAACUGAUAUUUGUAAAGAAUAAUAAGAACAUAAAUCAAAAUUACAAUACCGAAAUAUAAGAAUAAAGAAGAAUUACAGAGUUGAGAUAGUUAAUCUCUUUCCUUAAAUCUUUAAACGCCCCGUAUUGUGACGGUUUUAUAGCGCUAAGAUUCCCAUGAUACAACUGCAGCAUUGUUUCGGUUUACCAUCACCGAAAAACAGAAUCUAUCAACCAUAAUUUUGUGUUGUACUCUCAGACUCAAAAUAAAAAAAAUAAACAUAACUAUUCAUAAUGGGAGAAUUGUUUUUUCUUUGUUGUUGUAUUCAAGGUU
rnacentral:lncRNA from 1 species